rnacentral:rRNA from 1 species
UACGUAGGGGGCGAGCGUUGUCCGGAUUUAUUGGGCGUAAAGAGCUCGUAGGCGGUUUGGCAAGUCGGGUGUGAAAACUCCGGGCUCAACUCGGAGACGCCACUCGAUACUGCCAUGACUCGAGUCCGGUAGGGGAGUGCGGAAUUCCUGGUGUAGCGGUGAAAUGCGCAGAUAUCAGGAGGAACACCUAUUGCGAAGGCAGCUUACUACGCCUAUAUUGACGCUGAGGCACGAAAGCGUGGGGAUCAAACAGG